GGACCUCACUGCUAUCGGGGUGAGACUAAGCCAUGCAAGUCUAGGCCCAUAGCCAUCUGUAGGCCUGGCGUACGGCUCAGUAACACGUGGCCAACCUACCCCGAGGAGGCGGAUAACCCCGGGAAACUGGGGUAUAAACCGCCAUAGGUGAGGGGUUCUGGAACGACCCUUCGCUGAAAGACGUGCGCGGGGAUGCCUGUGCACGUGCCUCGGGAUGGGGCUGCGGCCCAUCAGGUAGUUGGUGGGGUAACGGCCCACCAAGCCUAUAACGGGUACGGGCCCUGAUAGGGGGAGCCCGGAGAUGGACUCUGAGACAAGAGUCCAGGCCCUACGGGGCGCAGCAGGCGCGAAAACUCCGCAAUGCGCUCACGCAUGACGGGGUUACCCCGAGUGCCACCCUCGUGGUGGCUUUUGCGCGGUCUAAAAAGCCGCGCGAAUAAGCGGGGGGCAAGACGGGUGUCAGCCGCCGCGGUAAUACCCGCUCCGCGAGUGGUGAGGACUAUUACUGGGCUUAAAGCGUCCGUAGCCGGCCCGGCGUGCUCCGCGUUAAAUCCAGCAGCCUAACUGCUGGGCUGCGCGGAUGACUGCCGGGCUUGGGGGUGGGAGAGGGCGGCGGUAUUCCCGGGGUAGGGGUAAAAUCCACUGAUCCCGGGAGGACCACCAGUGGCGAAGCGGCCGCCCAGAACACGCCCGACGGUGAGGGACGAAGCUGGGGGAGCGAU
rnacentral:rRNA from 1 species